UAAAGUCAAUGUGGUGAAGAUCAGCAUAUAACAUUUUUGGUUGGGAAGACCGACAUAGGGAAAGAACUCUCGUAUUUGUAUGUACUUUGCUCAGACACAGUCAGAAAGGAACAGAUUCGCUCCUUAUGCUCUACCUUUUUCUGUAAGUGGAAUAUGUGUAUAAAUGCAUGAGCGGCAUGAGUUAAAAGCGACGAAAGAGCUUGUAGACGGUCUUACCUGAUAUGCAGUUUUCUCCACAUUGACCUUAGUAAGUAUGCUAACACAUUAUAAAAGUGCAUCUAUUACAAGAACUGAAAUAAUGCUAACUUAUUUCAGUUGAUGUAUUAAAUAAAUCAUAGUAUCAUACCUAUUAAGUUACUCUAAAUAAAAAAUCUGAUGUGACAUGACAUUCAUAACAUUCAUAAAUCAUGUACACAAAAGCCUUAUUUGUUAAUAGAAGUAACAUCAUCAAAUUCACAGCAAGUAAAAUAUAAAAUAGAAUGCCUUUUUCUGCAUACAGCAAUUAUUUGUGAGGUACCUAGUAGUAUGUACUUAUACAUGUUUAUGAAUAAGUAGAGGGCGGUAGAGAUCACUUACAUUUUAAAUAUAAAUGAUUUUGUAAGGCUAAUAAAUGACGAUUGAUGAUAUACUAGUCGUUUAUAAAAUUAUUUUAAAGUGUGUCAUAUAAAUUUGUCUAUAUUAUAAAAAAUAGGAAUUCUUAUUAGUCAAAAUUUUUCAGUUCACUUAAAGUAUAUCAUUUUUUGCACAAUAGUUUUAAGUGUAGCAAGUUAAUUUCGUUUACACCCCAUUUGUAAUCACGUUUUGCAACUAGUCAGUUGAUCUCAUAAGUUAUAGAAGGUGUUACUAUUUAUGUUGUUUAAUUAUAUAAGUUUAAAUAAAUAGUAAGAGAUAUAUGUUUAUUUUCUAGUCAAGCUCAGCAUGUUAAAAUGUCUCGAAGUCAUAUUUGUACAUUUCAUAUUUCUCAUAUGAAAAUACGUAUUUUGAUGCAAGCAAGACAGCCAUAAAGCUAGAGCUGCAGAAUUCAAUUCCAUGCCUGGUCCGCCAGACUGCAGUAAUAACGCUAAUAACGCCAAUAUCAAACGAAAGUAUUCUACUGAGUAAGACAUCUAAUAAAAUGAGACACAUUGUUUUUACCGCUACAGUUUUAUAUAGUGUUUCAGUCUCUAGAGAUGUUAAAUAUAUAGUUCAUAAGUAUUCCUUAAUAUCACAGUUCAUGAAUACAGCUAAACAAUAACAAUUAUGACCUUGUUUAAGCUCAUAUUUUUCUAAGCGCACAUCUUCGCUAAUAGAAGGGCACUUCGCGUUCAAUUUUGUCUUUUAAUUCUGCCUAUAGGAUUUUUUAUUAUGAAAAGAUGGUUUCAUUCACCAUACCGAAAUUAAACAUUCCAAAGCUCAUUUUUAUAGUGUUAUGCAAUUCUAGUUAAAUAUAAAAUAAUUUUGCACAAAUUGUAGCUUCGAUCUCGUUAUUUUUUAAUUAAAUGUUUUAACAAACUGCAAUUGUAACUGUGCUAAUUAUUUUAAUACCCAGAAUCAAAUUAGCUUUAUGUUAUAAAGAUCUUGCUAUUUCACAAAAUUUAAUAUUAUCAAAUUAUAGUUUUUCGACUUUUUUUUCUCACCAGAAGCCUCUUUGCUCCAGUCGCAGAUUUAUACCCGAGACAGGGAAAAUACCACUACUCGACAUGAGUAGCCCAAUUCAUACGUGUGCAGCAGAGCAUGGUCGUCCUCCACAACGGUUACACGUACUCCAAGAACAACCCCAUCUCCGGUGGCCGCACCAGAUACCGGUGUUCGAGCUUCAAGACCUUCAACUGUAAAGCUUACUUGCAUGUGGACGAGCAAAAUGUCAUCGUCAAGGGAAAUGUUGUUCAUGAUCAUGACCCGCCGAAUUUGGUGCAACUUGGUGGAAGUUAUUUUAAAUGUUGAUGUUCGAUUUCAAUUUGAUACUCCAAGAACAACCCUAUCGCUGGCGGUCGCACCAGAUACCGACAUUGUCCAUGAUCAUGACCAGCCGAAUUUGGUGCAACUUUGUGGGACUUAUUUUAAAUGUUGAUGUUUGAUUUUAAUUUGUUUAUUAUUGCGCUGCUUACUACAAUAGAAAAGGAGGUCACUAGUCACGUAUCGUUUGUUGCGUCUUUAAAUAUCGAAUCAGUCAAUCGAAUUUACACAUCUACAAUAUUUACUCGUCUAAAAAUGGUUACAAUUUUCCAAAGUAAUUUAUAAAUACGGGCCAAGGCUUGUUGUUUCGUUGACUUUAGAAGUCUGUGGCUAGAGCACUAUUAUUCUUCUUUUUAUUCUGUUACUCUCUGUUGGGGUCUAGGGCAAUAGAGCACUAUUGUAAUAUUUAAGUAGUAGUAGUAGUAAACUCUUUAUUGUAUAAAAAUACAUAUUAAAACUAACAUCCAAUUAGCAAGAAGUACAAAGGCGAACCCUUUGAGGUAUUUCUUCCAGUUGAGGCACCUUUGAAUAGAUGAGAAGAGAGAGUGAAAAGAGGGUGACAUGCAGCAAAAUACAAGGUACCAGAAACACAAAGGAUAUAAAUACAUUCAUAAUUUAUAGGAAAUCUAAACAUGUAUUACACAAAAAGGAACGGGGAAAAUACACCAAAGCAGUAGAAAAAUAUAAAGCAACUAUAUAAUAGAAAUGUAGGCAAAUUAAUCAGACAGAACCAUAGCAUCUUUAACCUCCCCUUGAGCCACGUAGCCGAUUGUGCCUGUCUGAGCGAAACAUGCAGCUCAUUACACAGCUUCACUGAACGCGCUGCGAAGAACUUUAUUUAAAUUAAGAGUAUCCUUAUGUUUCUAGUGAUUCGCACACUUUGUAAAUAAAAGUUAGCAAAUUAGACAAAUUAAAAUAAUCCAAGAUUGUGCAGGAUCUUAACAGGUGGCACGCUUUCGUUUCGGAGACCAAGUUUUUUUAUGGAUCUCUGAGCGAAAAUAAUUAGUUUAGUUCAAGAUUGACGAAUUUAAAUGCCUUAACUAGGUAAUAAGUAAACCUGUUUCUUUAUAAUACUUUAAGUCAUCACCAAACGUAAAAUGAUCGUCCAAUAAAUCAGAAGUAACAAAACAUAUUAUUGUACAUAAAAUUACAUUCUAAUUUAUAAUUUUCUAUACAUAAACAUAGCUGCAAGUUGAACUUGUAAAUAUUUAAAUAUAAAAUAAACCUAAAUAUUAAUAAUUAAUUGUUUUUAUUUGGUUCAGUUGAAAUUCUGUACUUGACUGACAAAUAAUGUUCUUCUUUCUGCGCUUCUAAAAUUAUUUCCUAUAGUAAUAUUCCCAUUUUCUUUUACCAAAUAAUUUAUACUUUAUUAUUGUAUAUAUAGUCGGUUAGGCUGUUAUAGCGAAGAAUCCACGAAAAAAUGCUUAACUUAUUUCUGGGCAUCAUCGAUUAGACUAGAGAGUAACCUUCAGUCUUUUUAUAUCUUAGUUGGUGCAAAAUGUACCUCUAGCAAUAGUUACAAAACCUAAAUAAAAAAAAUUGAAUCCGACUUUGGUAUACGGGUAGAUCAACUUUUUUUCCUGACCCGUCAGCCAGACCACAAUUGUAGCAUAAUGGUUUGUUAGAUAAAAUGCUACACUACGUUCUACUAAUAUGCUAAGAUCUACUUAUUAUAGUCAUCUAUCUAAGGUGGCCCAUUAUGGAAAGGGAUUAAACUACCUUUAAAUGUUUGUUUGGAUAUUUUAAAUAUCAUAAAACAAGGGUUUUAAAAGUGACCCAGGCAACCGUAACCAUGGCAUAUGUCAUACAGAUAAAAAUUAAAUAUGGUAAUUUUCAGCAUCAUACAUAACCUUAGCCAGCGGUACCAAGCUCCUGAUCAUCGGGGAGUACUCCUACUCCAUCCGAGGCCGUAUCCGCGACCAAGGCUUCAGGUUCAAGUGCUCCAGCUGCCUCAGCAGAGGCUGCAAGGCCUUCGCUCAUGUGAGCAAGGAUAACGUCAUUUUGAAAGCCGACACGUUUCAUAAUCAUCCACCUUCGAGGUUCAUGCAAAUGUCUUCCGGAAGAUUUAUUAAAUUGAGUUAAUUGAAAUCAUUAUUUUAAUGUAGUUUGUAAUAAAUACAUGAUAAAUUAAUGAGUGGUAUUAUUUUAUUAUUUAUACGAAUACGCUUGGCCUCUAGCGUCUUACGGUUCUUAUACUAGUGCAAAUUACUAAUUACAUCCAAUGAAAUAAUUCUACGGAUUACACUCACGUAUUUUUAGUCACUCGCGCGACGUGUUUAGGAGAGCUUAGCGUGCGACGCGGCGCGGAGCAGUACGCGAUUCACGGCCGUCGUGAACGCUGCUCGCACUGUUAGUGCUUGAGAAAGGAGACCUAAGCUUUCCGAAGCAUGUCGCGCGAGUGACUAAAAAUACGUGAGUGUAAUCCGUAGAAUUAUUUUAAUGUUAGUAUGUCUCACGACAGUUUAAAUUCGAUUACAUCCAAAAAAAUUCAUUAUGGAAAAGAGUCGCUUAAAUUUUGUUUCGUUCGAUUUUGAAACGAAACAAAUUGAAUUUUAUUUUCUAAUGCAAUUGAUUAAAAUUUAACUGCCAAUUUUUAUUGUAUGAGAGGUUAUAGAAUCUUUUUAAAGUUGGUUGAUGAAUAUUUUGGCUGUGAGAUUGAACAUGCGUUUGUCUUGCAUAAAGUAAAUAGGUACUGCUUUGUUUGUAGAAUCAGCAGUUUCACCGGAAUGAUUCUGUUAAAUAAAUAUUUAAUACCUACUAUACUAAUUAGAUUAAUUCAAAGCAAUCAACCUCCCUGUGCCUAACCUGCCAAUGUUAUCGUCGUAACAAAAAUUUAGAUACGAAAUUGCUUAUUUAUAUCUUCCAAGUCCCAUCAGAUUCUUUAGAUUUCAUUUUGAACCUUGACUUAUUUAAUAAAAGUAAAAAUUAACUUUUAAAGUAAAACCCGUAUAAUUUUGACCCAUAUCGCUUUCACAAGACGCCUCAUGUUCUCACUUUUCCUGUAAAAAUCAAUGAAAACGAACUUUUUUCCAGCCAAAUACAUAAUCACAACGCGAGGAAUAAAACUGCUAUGCAUCAACGACUACACGUUUUGUCGCAGCGGCCCGAUCCAUGAUGGCUCCAGAUACACUUGUUCCAAUAGACACAGGAAGUGCAAAGCUCAUGCGCAUGUUACCAAGGACGAUGUCAUUAAAAAGGCGGAUUUGAAUCAUAACCAUGCUCCUGUCAAAUAUGUGCAAACGAAUUCUGGUUUUUAUCAAAAAGUUUAAAUUGUAUGUCAAUGUUCAGACCAAGACUUGGAACCGGUUUUAAAAAUAGCGUAAAAUUUUUGCGUUUUGGUUUUACUUCGAACUUUCGUAAGAACGCGAACGUUUUAAGAAUGCUAUUGUAACCUAAAUAAACCGGUUUAUUCGACGAGCGACGAGACAGCCGCUGGGCCUGGUGGUGUGCAGCGUAAACAAAGACAUCGACCUAGGAAGAAACCGGUUUUAUUGUUUUAAACCGGUUAAUCUAAGAUAUAUAUAUAUAUAUAUAUUGUUGGCAACAUAAAGUCUACCCUACCAGGCAUAGGCUAUAAAAACCGGUGCAAACCGUUGCUCGGAACAUUUUGCCUUCGGCUGCCGUCGUGAUCGCGUGAGCUACUUUGAUAUCGUUCCAUGCUGUUAUUUUAUAUUUCGUUAUGUAAUAUAAAAUGUGCGAUUUGUUCCUUUAAUUUUGUGAUAUUUAUUAGAACUUCGAAUAAAAUAAUUGUGAUUUGUUUA